CAGCUUGCUGCUUUGCUGACGAGUGGCGGACGGGUGAGUAAUGUCUGGGAAACUGCCUGAUGGAGGGGGAUAACUACUGGAAACGGUGGCUAAUACCGCAUAACGUCGCAAGACCAAAGAGGGGGACCUUCGGGCCUCUUGCCAUCAGAUGUGCCCAGAUGGGAUUAGCUUGUUGGUGAGGUAACGGCUCACCAAGGCGACGAUCCCUAGCUGGUCUGAGAGGAUGACCAGCCACACUGGAACUGAGACACGGUCCAGACUCCUACGGGAGGCAGCAGUGGGGAAUAUUGCACAAUGGGCGCAAGCCUGAUGCAGCCAUGCCGCGUGUAUGAAGAAGGCCUUCGGGUUGUAAAGUACUUUCAGCGGGGAGGAAGGUGUUGUGGUUAAUAACCGCAGCAAUUGACGUUACCCGCAGAAGAAGCACCGGCUAACUCCGUGCCAGCAGCCGCGGUAAUACGGAGGGUGCAAGCGUUAAUCGGAAUUACUGGGCGUAAAGCGCACGCAGGCGGUCUGUCAAGUCGGAUGUGAAAUCCCCGGGCUCAACCUGGGAACUGCAUUCGAAACUGGCAGGCUUGAGUCUUGUAGAGGGGGGUAGAAUUCCAGGUGUAGCGGUGAAAUGCGUAGAGAUCUGGAGGAAUACCGGUGGCGAAGGCGGCCCCCUGGACAAAGACUGACGCUCAGGUGCGAAAGCGUGGGGAGCAAACAGGAUUAGAUACCCUGGUAGUCCACGCCGUAAACGAUGUCUACUUGGAGGUUGUGCCCUUGAGGCGUGGCUUCCGGAGCUAACGCGUUAAGUAGACCGCCUGGGGAGUACGGCCGCAAGGUUAAAACUCAAAUGAAUUGACGGGGGCCCGCACAAGCGGUGGAGCAUGUGGUUUAAUUCGAUGCAACGCGAAGAACCUUACCUGGUCUUGACAUCCACAGAACUUUCCAGAGAUGGAUUGGUGCCUUCGGGAACUGUGAGACAGGUGCUGCAUGGCUGUCGUCAGCUCGUGUUGUGAAAUGUUGGGUUAAGUCCCGCAACGAGCGCAACCCUUA
rnacentral:rRNA from 1 species